rnacentral:rRNA from 1 species
UAAGCGGAGGAAAAGAAACUANCAAGGAUUCCCCUAGUAACUGCGAGUGAAGCGGGAAAAGCUCAAAUUUAAAAUCUGGUGGUCUUUGGCCAUUCGAGUUGUAAUUUAGAGAAGCGUCUUCCGCGCUGGACCGUGCACAAGUCUCCUGGAAUGGAGCGUCAUAGAGGGUGAGAAUCCCGUCUUUGGCACGGACACACCAGGGCUUUUGUGAUGCGCUCUCGAAGAGUCGAGUUGUUUGGGAAUGCAGCCCAAAAUGGGUGGUGAACUCCAUCUAAAGCUAAAUAUUGGCGAGAGACCGAUAGCGAACAAGUACCGUGAGGGAAAGAUGAAAAGCACUUUGGAAAGAGAGUGAAACAGUACGUGAAAUUGUUGAAAGGGAAACACUUGAAGUCAGUCACGUCGACCGAGACUCAGCCUUGCCUUGGCUUGGUGUACUUCUCGGCUGACGGGUCAGCAUCAAUUUUGCCCCUUGGAUAAUGGCGAGGGAAAUGUGACACCUUUACGGUGUGUUAUAGUCUCUCGUCGCAUGCAAGGGUUGGGAUUGAGGAACUCAGCACGCGCCUUUGGGUGUCGGGGCUUUGCCCACGAUACGUGCUUAGGAUGUUGGCAUAAUGGCUUUAAACGACC